ACGCAUGGGAGAGGGGAACCCUUUACUACCAUGGCAUACAAGAUGAGGCUUCUUUAAAAAAUAAGUCGACAAGGUUAAUCAUCAACACAUUAUGCUACUUCCAGAAAUUCUGAUUAAGUGGUCGGAUAGUUUGUUAGGUAUUUCUGAAAGUACUGAAAAAUGGAUUUGUCUCGGCAUAUGAGAUUGGGUAUAUCCUUUGUUUAAAUAUGUCUAUGUGCCUGUUGGGAUUCUAUUUUUAAGGCAAAAAAUAUUUUUGUUCUCUAAGUGUAUCAAAAAACCUGUUUUCAGUCAAUCUAGUGGAUCAACGAGAAGAGCAAAAUUUUUAGAUGGAAAGCUGAGCGAUUGCACGAGGUAUGAAAGACUGGGAAUACUGAGAUUCUAACACCUGUCCAGCACUAUAACAAAUCUGCUCAAAUCUGUUAAAAGCUUUUACUCCCAACACAGAUGGAGAACUCUGGUUUAUUGAAGAGGCCGGCCUCUGCUGAACCUCCUCACGGAAUGAUGUGGUUCACUGUCUCCUACUCCUCUGGAUGCCCGGGUUCUCCUUUGAUCAGAUAUGCCUUGCCGCUGCAGCCCAUUUGUCUUUUCUUGGAGGAGCCACACAAGACUCUCAUUUAUUCCCUCGCAAUCAGCUAUUGCCAUCGCACAGAGAUGUACAGCGUGUAACAGCAUUACUACACCAGAAGCAUCGUAUGCUCAGGCCCGGGCCAGACCGGGCUAGGGACUGGACUGGCAGGCUUGUCUGUGACACAGUUGAUCAGUAGAUGGUGUUUCUGACGAAAACAAAGGUGAAGAGAUUGAGGCUCUGAGAGACUAAAUAAAGAUACUAAUCCAACAGCUCAUAAAGUGCAGAGCUGAAGUUCUGACUGAUUUCCACAUAUUUCUACUAUGACAUCAACUGGAGAUGGAAGAGAUCACUUCUCUGUAACCAUGGAGGUGCCGAUGCUUGAUGGUGCCCACGUUACUGACUCCUGAUUGCUAGAUCAGAGACAAGGUACUUGGACUGGUUCUGGCAGAUCCGGCAUCUCCUGACGUCCUUAAAAAGGAACGAGGAUAUUUGCUGCUCUAACUAACAGAUUCCCAAGCUUUACUAGCAGCUCUUGUUCCUGGCUUUCAAUAUGGACAUGGAUUGGAAUCCCAACUCUGUAAUUUGCAAUCUCUGUUACCUUGGGUUUGGAGAAAGCAGUUUUCAAACUGGUUAACAGAGCUUGAGAAGACAUAAAGACCAAAUCAGACUGCUGGAGCUUAAUUACACUUGAUAAGCAAGCACGUCUACACCUACAUCAUUGCAAAUUGGAGAAAACCUUCCAUCUGUAGCUAUUCUUCAUUUUCUCAUUGGCUUUGCAGUGGCUCAUUAGUGUAAUGGAGAUGCCUUGAGGCAAGCUUCAAUAGCCUUAGAGCACAGGCAGACAUCCCUGAGCUCCGGAAAGAACCUGGACAGGCCCUGAAAGCAUGAGGGAAAGCUUUGGAGAAGGCAAUUGAGAAACCUCCCGGAGAGACAUUGUCUGCGGAUCACUGGCCCGAUAUCACAUAAAGGCCCCAUCUGAGCC
ensembl:lncRNA